GCAUAACGCGAAGAACCUUACCAAGGCUUGACAUACACGAGAACACCGUAGAAAUACGGGACUCUUUGGACACUCGUGAACAGGUGGUGCAUGGUUGUCGUCAGCUCGUGUCGUGAGAUGUUGGGGUUAAGUCCCGCAACGAGCGCAACCCUCGUUCUAUGUUGCCAGCACGUUAUGGUGGGAACUCAUGGGAUACUGCCGGGGUCGAACUCGGAGGAAGGUGGGAGUGACGUCAAAUCAUCAUGCCCCUUACUGUCUUGGGUCGUUCACGCAUGCUACAAUGGCCGGUACGAAUGGGCUGCAAUACCGUGAGGUGGAGCGAAUCCCAAAAACGCCGGUACCCGCGUUCGGAUUGAGGUCUGCAACUCGACCUCAUGAAGUCGGAGUCGCUAGUAAUCGCAGAUCAGCAACGCUGCGGUGAAUACG
rnacentral:rRNA from 1 species